UAACAGAAAGUAGCUUGCUACUUUGCUGACGAGCGGCGGACGGGUGAGUAAUGCUUGGGAACAUGCCUUGAGGUGGGGGACAACAGUUGGAAACGACUGCUAAUACCGCAUAAUGUCUACGGACCAAAGGGGGCUUCGGCUCUCGCCUUUAUAUUGGCCCAAGUGGGAUUAGCUAGUUGGUGAGGUAAUGGCUCACCAAGGCGACGAUCCCUAGCUGGUUUGAGAGGAUGAUCAGCCACACUGGGACUGAGACACGGCCCACACUCCUACGGGAGGCAGCAGUGGGGAAUAUUGCACAAUGGGCGCAAGCCUGAUGCAGCCAUGCCGCGUGUGUGAAGAAGGCCUUCGGGUUGUAAAGCACUUUCAGUCAGGAGGAAAGCGUGGUGGUUAAUACCCAUCAUGUGUGACGUUACUGACAGAAGAAGCACCGGCUAACUCCGUGCCAGCAGCCGCGGUAAUACGGAGGGUGCGAGCGUUAAUCGGAAUUACUGGGCGUAAAGCGUACGCAGGCGGUUUGUUAAGCGAGAUGUGAAAGCCCCGGGCUCAACCUGGGAACUGCAUUUCGAACUGGCCAACUAGAGUGUGAUAGAGGGUGGUAGAAUUUCAGGUGUAGCGGUGAAAUGCGUAUAGAUCUGAAGGAAUACCGAUGGCGAAGGCAGCCACCUGGGUCAACUCUGACGCUCAUGUACGAUAGCGUGCGGAGCAAACGGGAUUAGAUACCCCGGUAGUCCACGCCGUAAACGAUGUCUACUAGAAGCUCGGA
rnacentral:rRNA from 1 species